rnacentral:rRNA from 1 species
UACGUAGGUGACAAGCGUUGUCCGGUAUUUGACUGGACGUAAAGAGCGCGCAGCGGUCGAUCAAGUCGAGUGUGAAAGCCCCCGGCUCAACUGGGGAGGGUCAUUCGAAACUGGUCGACUCGAAGGCAGGAGAGGGUAGUGGAAUUCCCGGUGUAGUGGUGAAAUGCGUAGAUAUCGGGAGGAACACCAGUGGCGAAGGCGACUACCUGGCCUGUUCUUGACGCUGAGGCGCGAAAGCUAGGGGAGCAAACGGG